CCCCCUCCUAAUGGGCAGCGGUAGGAGCAGUUGAUGGUGCGUGUGAGGUCCCGGAGCAUUGUGAAUAAGGUGUCCGCUCCAGCCCGCUUCCCUGAUACUGCAAGGCUCUCCCAGAUUAUCUCCACCUACACACCCACCCAACUAAAUGUUCUUUCUCUCUCAAAAAAGAAAAAAAAUCAGGAAGGACAAUAACAAAACAAAAUAAAAUUAAAACAAACAAAA